GGCCCCGGGGGGCAGAUCUGCCACGGACAAAAGACCAUCCAGUCUUAGCCCUUCCAACUUUUCCUCUCCUGCCUCUACGUGGAAUGCUCCAUUCCUCCUCCAGGUUUCUCUCCGCAUCUUUUCCUAGAUAGCUCCACCCUCCCGCGUGGACUGCCCUCUUUGUGAGCUCCUCCCUUCCACUCUCACUGAACUGAUCCUAUUUACCAGCCUAGGAGGUUGGCUAGUCCUUUCUCUUUUAAAACUCGCUCUGCCAUUUAACUCUGCUGCUCACUGGAUAGAGAAUCCUUCUUUCCCAGGACUUCCUACCCUCGCCUCCUGCUGGCUCCUCCCCACCUUCACCCCUUCAACAGGGACUCAAGACUCGAAUCCUUAGGUGACAGUCCCCUACUCACAGAAAACACUGACGUCAGCUGCAGCUUCGGUGUGGCCAAAGGGGCUUCGGACAUGGCAAGUGUACUGGGCGUGGUCACUGCGUACCGGACGUGAGAUGAGCAGCUGGUCCCGUUCUGCCCGGAUGCGAGGUGGCUCUGUGCCUUCAGAAUCUGAGGUCUCCAGGGCUCGUCCGUCUCUACUCCAGCUCAGUUUCCCGCUACCUGGGUUCCACCCCAUGCAUCUUAGCCGCAGCUCGGCUGCCCCUUCUUCUGUCUCUGGCGCCCUGGGCUGUACUGACAACUGGGGUAAGGGCUCUGGAGAUCCAGAACAGUCUUUGAUGAGUUGGAGAGCCCAGACACCAGAACUCCCUCCUUGGGCCACAAGUCUCUGCCACCUCAGUCCUUCCUCUCCUCUCACUGCACCCAGAAUGAGCUCACAGUCCUCCUCCCUCAGAUCCAGGGAUACAGACCCCAAGCCUCCUCCCUUGGACCCAGAGGUACAUACCUCAACCUUCAGCCCUCAAACGGAGGAGUCCAAAUCCCAAUCUUAUUCUGUCAGUCCCAGGACUCCAGAAUCCAGCCCUCCUUCAGACUCUGCGGUCUAAACCUCCCACCCCUCUUCCCUCAAACCCAGGGGUUCAGACUCCAAUCCUAUUCCUUCAGAACCCAGUCCAAACCCCAGUCUUCAUUCCCUCAGUCCCAUGGAUUCAGACCCCAACCCUCUCUUACACCUGAGUGAGGUCCAGGCCUCUCUCAGAGCCGAGAGUCCAGACUUAGACUUCCUCCUUCAGACAAGGUAGGGUCUGGUCCCUGUCUUUGCUCUUAUCCCCAACCCCAGGCUCCGGGAAGGAAGCAUAUCCACACAGCACAGACUUGCCCAGAGGUCUGCGAGGAGAGCAGGCACUCGAAGCUUGCACUCUGGACCUCAGAACCCACUUACCAUACACACCCACCACGAACUCCCGAAUCUGCUGGGAGACUCCUCCCCUGAUGAUCUCAACUGUGUACACCCCAGCAUCAUCCAGCCGAGCAGAGAGGUUGCAUGGAGAGGCCCAGGCUGAACCUCCACUCCUCACCCCCAGGGGAAGGUGAACUCCCAGCUGGAACCAAGCAGCAAGCCUGUGGGGACCAUGCAGGAAGACUUCCUUCAGGCGUGUCUGUGAAAUCAGAGCCCCUCCUGGGUACUCCCUUUCUGGCUCAGGCAUCCUGCUUCCCAGCCUUCUGGUAUCCACUCUGUCUGACCUGCAGCCCCUUCUCUGACCCUUCCCUGCCCUCUUCCUCAGAUCCUUCUGUGACUCCUUAGUGUCCUCAGAACCAAGUUUCCACUUGCUGUCUCUAUCGAAGCCAUCUACCCUGAUACCUAGAACUCAGUUUCCAUUGUCCAAUACCUGCUAAACUCAGCAACUCCCUCUGCCCCAUAUUUUGAGGACCACCUAUGCAAAGGCUGGGGAGGCUUCCCACUAUCUUUGCCCCUAGCACUGCCACCAGUCUCUGAACACUACCUAGAUCUCGCUCCCCAUUUUCUCCUCUUGGUGCCCACUGCUAAGACCUUAGCCUUUCCAUCUGCACCUCCCCCCACUCACUUUCUGCAACCCCCUACUCUGGUUAAGCCCCCUCUCUUGCCAUCCAACCCUUUCCUCCACGUCCCAGCCCUGCCUGGCUUCACAGCAUCCUCUGUAGAUAUCUUUACUGGCCUCUCCCACUUGUCUGCACUAUGCCUUACCCUCCUGAACACGCUGCUCUUCUGAUGCUAUCUUACCUUCCGGCCUUUGCCAGCAUUCUUUCCUUUACCUGGAAUGCAUUUCCCCCCUCCAAUCUGGUCACCUCCAAACUGGUCCUUCAGGUCUCACCUCAUUAACAGCCAUAAUAAUGACAACUUAAGCUCAGCCAGGAACUAUGCUAAAUUUUACCAGCACAUUAUCAUCAGGCUGAUUUCCUUUUCUAAGUGUCCUCUGAGUAGAAUGUUUGGUCCUCACUUCAUAAACCAAGAGAUGAGGAUGCAGAAAACCCAAAUUUCCCAUGGGAGGUUGCAGAGCUAGCAGGAGAGGCUGGACUUAGGUCAAGGCUGGUCAGAUGCUUUAGCCCUUCAGAAAGUUUUAUAACCCCUUGCUAGGCUUUAGGCUUCUGCUCAGCUCUGAGCCUCUGAGAACUGGUGCUUACAGUGCUGAUGGAAGGCAUGGUCAGAAUGCACUGAGCAUGCUCCAUAUAUCAUAUAUAGCUCAGAAGUGAUGUCAGAAAACCUGUUGAGAAAUUAAUGUUUUGCUGUGCAUGGUGGCACACACCUUUGAUCCCAGCACUUGGGAGGCAGAGGCAGGAGGAUCUCUGAGUUCAAGGCUACCCUGGUCUACAUAGGGAGUUCUGGGAUGGCCAGGACAAUAGGGAGAUUCUUUCUUUAAAAAAAUACAAAUAAAUUAAUAAUAAUAAUAAUAUCCUAAUUUAUUCUUUGAGAAUUUAACAUAUUUUGAUCAUUUCUUUUCCUGUCCCCUAACUCCUUCCAGAUCUUUCCCAACCUCCCUACUCACCCAUCUUCAUGUUCUUUCUCUUUCAUAAUAUAAAGUAAAAUAAAAUAAAGGGCAGAGCCCA